CCCGGGUGGGGCAGGGGCAGCCCGGGGCCCAGCUACGGCAAAGCCAGGCCGGACACGCAGGCCUCGCGGCCGGGGUCUCCAAGGGGGAGCGGCUGGAGCUGAGCGUGGGGUCCCCCCCCGGGAACCCGGCGCCCGUGACCCCGACCAGCCCGGCCAACGCCCUGGCGGAAGGGGUCCUCACUCAGCCCUCCAUCAUCUUUUUAUCUUCUCCAAGCGUCAUCAAUCGUCCUCGCAUCGUAGAAGAUUCUCGCAAAGUUUUCAUCAUUUCAUGCAGACCCGUGCUUUUGGAUGAAAGCGGUUUAGAUGAUCUAACUGUCCUGUGGGCCUUCUCCCCCACAUUCA
ensembl:lncRNA